AACUGCACUGAGACGUGGCCUUUUGUGCUCACGUUGGCCAGUCCUUCUUUGGACUGCCGUGCAUUCCGAAGUUUCCAAGUUUAUUACAAAGCACACAGGUUUCAGUGUGGCAGGACAGGCAACUCUCGUAACCUUGUCUCAAAGGAAUGAUCAGUCACCAGUAAUUCUGAGUUUAAGGGCCUGUUUCCUAGUCCCCUUUGGGAUAUCCCAUUUCUUCCCAUGUACAAAUGAAGAAAGUACUUCUUACUAUAACAGUCCCAAAGUACUUACACCGAAAAUAAGACCAGUAGACAAUAUGCUUUGGCCCGUGGGGUUGUUUGACCUUGGCUGGAUGCCAGGUGCCUACCAGGCCACUUUGUCACUCCCCCUUUUCAGCUGGACAGGGGAGAGAAAAUCAGAUGGAAGACAACUCAUAGGCUGUGAUAAGGCUGUCUACUAAAGCAAAAGCAAAAGUUUGCAUUCUCAGAAGACAAAGGUUUUAUUCUCUACUUCACAUCAGCAAGUGAUGUCUGGACACUUCCUGGGAAGCAGGGCUUCAGCACACAUACCAGUUGCACUGUAAGAAACCACUGAGAGACAACGGGGUUUCAUGUGGAAAAUAUUACUGUCUUUCCUGUGCAAGGAAAUCUUGAGCUGCCUGAGAAGCCAUUUGAGGUUCUCCCUUACCCGGUGCUGUAUGCAUGCACGGAGCCGCCUGGAGGCAGCAUUCACACAGCUUGCUACAGGCCUGUCUUUGGAAAGUACACUUUGCUGGGGUUUCAUCAUACAGAAAAAAGCUAAGAAGAAAUUACAUAAAGCUCUGAGGUGAAGUUGACCAAAAUAUAUGGGAAGUCCAUCUGCAGAUUCCUAAUGUUGGGAUGUAAUUGAUUGCUAUCUAUCUC